rnacentral:rRNA from 1 species
AUGGCCGCCGCCUCGUCCUCCUCCUGCGGCGGCGCCGGCUGCGGGGCCCGCUGCUCCUCCUCCACCUCGUCAUCCGUAGAGGAUGCUCCGGAGGGGAUUCUGGGCCGUCUCUCCAUAUCCGGUGCCGCCGCCUCCUGCGGCAAGUGCGGCGGCGGCGCCGUCGUCGUGGUUGCCGGAGGCGUCGGUCUGUGCGGAGAGUGCUUGCGGGCCCAGCUGUUCGGGAAGUUCAAGCUCGCCGUCACAAGCAACGCCAUGGUUCGGCCAACCGACUCCGUCCUCGUCGCCUUCUCCGGCGGCCCCGCCUCUAGGGUUGCUCUGCAAUUUAUACAUGAGAUGCGGUCCAAGGCAAUCGAAAGCUGGGACGCCAGCAAUUCGCAAGCCCUACCGGUCUUCAAUGUCGGGGUGGCGUUCGUUGACGAGAGUGUUUUGUUGUCGAAGCCCGAAUGCGAAGUUGAGCAGGCAACUGAAGAUAUUAAGUCAAUUGUGUCGAGUUUGUUGCCGGGAGAUAACGCAAUGCACAUUGCCUCUCUUGAUGACGUGUUCUCCCCGGAAUCAAAAGACGGUGAAGGCAGGCUGAGGGAGCUAGUUGGAAUGAUUACUGAUGAUACUGGGAGGGAGGAUCUUCUUCAGUGCUUGCGCAUGCUUUCGUUGCAGAAGAUUGCACUGGAAAAUGGGUACACAAAGAUCAUGCUGGGAUCAUGUGCUUCUACAAUAGCAUGUCAUGUGCUAUCUGCAACAGUAAAGGGCCAAGGUUAUUCCUUACCAGCUGAUAUCCAAUAUGUUGAUACACGGUGGGAAGUGCCUGUCGUUCUUCCACUUCGUGAUUGCCUGGCCCAAGAGCUUAGCCUGCUCUGUGAAUUUGAUAGUUUAAAGACACAGCAACUUCUUGAUAGGCCUUGCAGUGGCAUCAAUGGCUUAGUCGCAUCUUUUGUUGCACGACUAAGGGAGGAGAAUCCUUCUCGUGAGCAUACUAUUGUAAGAACUGCACAAAAACUUAAGCCAUUCCCUUUUAACAAGUUCUCAGCAAAUGGCUAUCAUGAUUUCCUGCCGUCGCGGCUGCGUCCCAAGUUCCAGGAUGUUGAUAGCGAUGAGUCUGCUUUCUCUGAGGUUCUCUGCCUGAUAUGUCGAAGUCCAUUCAGUGAAUCAGAACUCCAGAAUGUUGAAAGCACAAGGCACACGUCUCAGAAGAAAAUUGAUCUGUAUACUGCUUAUUGCUGUCAAAGCUGUCAUUUCCAGAUUCUACCAGGAGGUAGAGACCUGUAUGACCAUUUCUUUUCACUACUACCAAGGUUCUGGACUGAGAGAGUAGAUACUGCAUCUGCCAGCCAUAGCUCGCUAAGAGAUCAAAUAGAAGACUAUCUUCUUGAAGACGAUGAUGAUGGGAACUGA